AGUGGACGCUGGCGGCGUGCUUAACACGUGCAAGUCGAACGAGAACGGAUUAUAGCUUGCUAUAAUUGUCAGCUAAGUGGCGCGCGGGUGAGUAAUGUAUAGGUAAUAUGCCUCUUACUAAGGGAUAACAAAUGGAAACGUUUGCUAAUACCUUAUACUCCUUAUUAACAGAAGUUAAUAAGGGAAAGAUUUAUUGGUAAGAGAUUAGCCUGUAUUGUAUCAGUUAGUUGGUGGGGUAAUGGCUUACCAAGACUAUGACACAUAACUGGUUUGAGAGGAUGAUCAGUCACACUGGAACUGAGACACGGUCCAGACUCCUACGGGAGGCAGCAGUGGGGAAUAUUGCACAAUGGACGAAAGUCUGAUGCAGCAACGCCGCGUGGAGGAUGACACAUUUCGGUGCGUAAACUCCUUUUAUAUGAGAAGAUAAUGACGGUAUUAUAUGAAUAAGCACCGGCUAACUCCGUGCCAGCCGCCGCCGUAACAC
rnacentral:rRNA from 1 species